AAAACUAGGCCUAGGCCUAAAUUGCAAUGGAAUCCUAGAAAGAAAACAUCAACUCUACUAAAAGGCACAUUGAAAGCAGGACAAGAAUGCAAAUUAUGGGAAUUCACAUGAUGAAGACCAUCCCCGUCACAGGAAUUCACAUGAAGACUGUUAUUUUCAACUAUUACUGUUUGUAUAGGAAGGAGGCCAAAAUUGAAAACGAAGUUGAUGAAUAUAAUCAAGGCCUAUAUUAACGCCGUGGCUAGAGAUACGGUACCGUAUCGGAACUUCCGAUUGCUAAAGAUAGAAUAAUGAGUGAAGGCCAAGAUAGUAAAGAUGAUGAGACACAUAAACAAAGGGCCAUUGCUCCUGUGGCCCCAAAAGUGUUCCUGCAAGAGGAGGGUCAAGUUGAAGUGUCCGCAAGUCCUGCCUUCCAGUGUCUUGAUGAGCUUUUUCAACAAGGGAAGCUAACAGGAACCAAGGUGGCACAACUGAAGGCAAGGUACACAGAGCUCCACAGACGGCUUGCCUC